GGACCCUUGGCGCAGCGGUAGCGCGUGAGAUUCCAGCAAUCCGUGUCACGUGAUAUCUAGUUUCCUCAAGGUCAUCCGUUCAAAUCGGGUAGGGUUCA